rnacentral:rRNA from 1 species
UCUGGUUGAUCCUGCCAGUAGUCAUAUGCUUGUCUCAAAGAUUAAGCCAUGCAUGUCUAGGUACGAGCCUCCGUACAAAGCGAAACUGCGAAUGGCUCAUUAAAUCAGUUAUGGUUCCUUUGAUCGUUACCCCUUACUCGGAUAACUGUGGUAAUUCUAGAGCUAAUACGUGCGAAUGAGCGCCGACCUCGCGGGAGGCGUGCUUUUAUUAGGACCAAGACCAAUCCGGGUCUUCGUGGCCCGGUCCCACUGGCGAAUUCUGGAUAACUUGGCGGAUCGCACGGCCUCCGCGCCGGCGACGAGUCUUUCGAGUGUCUGCCCUAUCAACUUUCGAUGGUACGUUAUGCGCCUACCAUGGUUGUAACGGGUAACGGGGAAUCAGGGUUCGAUUCCGGAGAGGGAGCCUGAGAAACGGCUACCACAUCCAAGGAAGGCAGCAGGCGCGCAAAUUACCCAUUCCCGACACGGGGAGGUAGUGACGAAAAAUAACAAUACAGGACUCUUUCGAGGCCCUGUAAUUGGAAUGAGUACACUUUAAAACCUUUAACGAGGAUCGAUUGGAGGGCAAGUCUGGUGCCAGCAGCCGCGGUAAUUCCAGCUCCAAUAGCGUAUAUUAAAGCUGUUGCAGUUAAAAAGCUCGUAUUGGAUCUUGGGCCUAGGCUGGCGGUCCGCCGAAAGGCGAGUCACUGCCUGUCCUGGUCUCUCCUUCGG